rnacentral:lncRNA from 1 species
GUGCCAGUGAAGCAUUCCUCUGCACCUAGGCCACCCCAGAGGUUGUCACACAGUACCCAAGUUCUCUCAGGAGCUCACCAAGCCAAUAUCUUCACCCAGAGGACUGGAACUGUAGGUGGAGACCCAUAUCGUGGAUGUGCUGCCAUGGCCCCUAACCUUGAUUCUAAGCUCCAGGACCAAGCAGACAGACCUCAGUAUCUCCAGGAUGGAACAUCUCCCUGAAACUGCCCUACCACUGCGGGCUCAAGUUCACAGGAACACCAGCUUCUUGCCAACAGAGUCACUCCUUGCCCUGCUUAAGGUCUCAGCCUUAAGGUCUCUUGAGUCUGAAAACCUCAGACUCAAGAGCUCAAUUAUCUCUCCUCUAGGCCACCAAAUUCCAGCCUCUCUACUCUGUGGACCUUGGAAUGAAACACCACCUCUUUAUCCCCCUCCCAACAGUACCUCCAUCUUCAACCCCAUGCCCUCUGCAUCCCAUCCUUCCCCAAAAGCAACCCAAUAUUUCUGUCUCUGGCCAUCACUGUCCUGACUACAUCUCUCCCGACACUCAUCUCCUCCUCUUCCUAUGGUUUCCCUAUCCUGUCAUAAGCCAUCCUUCAAAAAACAAGAUGUAAGGAGCUUGCUGCUGGGUUUAGCACUCUGGAAACCAGAUGGAUUCUCCAGCUCUGACGUGAGGAUUACAACUCUAAGGUCCAAAUCCAGUUUUAAACAUAGAUUCUAAGUUAUGACCCAAUAAUCCUCACAUAUCAUAUACC